UACGAAGGGGGCUAGCGUUGUUCGGAAUUACUGGGCGUAAAGCGCACGUAGGCGGAUAUUUAAGUCAGGGGUGAAAUCCCAGAGCUCAACUCUGGAACUGCCUUUGAUACUGGGUAUCUUGAGUAUGGAAGAGGUAAGUGGAAUUGCGAGUGUAGAGGUGAAAUUCGUAGAUAUUCGCAGGAACACCAGUGGCGAAGGCGGCUUACUGGUCCAUUACUGACGCUGAGGUGCGAAAGCGUGGGGAGCAACAGG
rnacentral:rRNA from 1 species